UACGUAGGGUGCAAGCGUUGUCCGGAAUUAUUGGGCGUAAAGAGCUCGUAGGCGGUCUGUCGCGUCUGCUGUGAAAAACUCGGGGCUUAACCCCGGGCCUGCAGUGGGUACGGGCAGACUAGAGUGCGGUAGGGGAGACUGGAAUUCCUGGUGUAGCGGUGAAAUGCGUAGAUAUUGGGAGGAACACCGGUGGCGAAGGCGGCCCCCCGGACCGGUACUGACGCUGAGGCGCGAAAGCGUGGGUAGCAAACGGG
rnacentral:rRNA from 1 species